UUAAAUAUGAAAUAUUUUUUAUUUUUUUAUUAACUAUACUUCCCCCCUCCUCUUCCCGUAAACUAAACGAGUCUCUAAAAGCAAUCUUCUUGCUUAUUGGGUCUAAGCAAAAGCUAUAAAGGCUAAUAAUAAGUUGCCUCCUUGCACCCAUUACUUUAUAAGAUGCAAGAAUCCUCCCUCCCCCCAAUUUUUUUAAGAGUGAAAAAAGAGAAAAUGAUGAGGCCCACCCAAUUACAUCAAAAUGUUAAAGUAGUCCCAAUACAAUUUUUUUCUUUUUCUCUGACAAAAUGGAGACAUGCUUCAGCCGCCUUUGUAAGAAGAUGAAAGAAGUACAAGAAGGCCGGUGCAACGCUUAAAGUUUUGGACCAUUUCACGGUUUGCUCUUGUCAUUCUUAUCAAUAUAGCUCAUGCUUUCACACCACUGUAACAUAAAGCUUACAGGAUUUUAUCUUGC
rnacentral:lncRNA from 1 species